CUGCAUCUCAAAAAAAAAAAAAACCAAAAAACAAAAAACCAAAAAACCAAACUAGAUUUUAAGUGAUCAGUGAAGAAAUCAGGGAAUUUUCUAGACAUCAAUGAUAAAAUGGACUUUUAUGAGUAAAAAAGGGUAAAAGAAGAUGACUUACUAGUUGAAAAGACCAAAUGAAGUAAGAGGUGUUUUCCUAUACGAUACUGAUUCAGUCAGAGACUUCGCAGACUAUUCAGUGUUGCUAUUCUGGUGAGGUAAAUUGGUUUCCUGUAGAUAAUUCCUAGUGAAAUACAACAUGAAUGUGUCAUUACAAUCAAUUGCUGACAGUUUUAUGUGGCCCAUUCAUAAAAUCAUACUAAGCACUUUCCUAUUCUGGUGUUCAGAUACUAACCUCUGGACCUCUCUCUCCACCAUCACCUUUUCUGCCACCAUUCAGUUAUUCCACAAAUGUUUGCUAAGCACGUAGCAAACACUAGCCAUUGUCCUAGGUGCCUGGGCGAAGAGUCCCAUAGGCCUUGCCUUCAAGGAGUUCAUAGUUUAAGACCUGGGACACUGCUUCAGAAUUAGGUUAUUAACAGCAACACAAUUUUAUGUCUACCAUCUUGAGUAUAAUAAAAAUAUUGUAGGUGAGAGUAUUCAGAAAGGUACCGACCAUACCUGUGUUGGAAAUUACAGACACAUGGAGUAAAAGAUAAAGUUUAGAAAUUGUUGGUUUUGUCAGCUCCCAUUUAAGACUUUCUUGUUCACUGACCAGGUCCUUAAUCAUUCAACAGAGACAUAAUAACUUUAUUGGAUGGAGCAAUACUUCUUGCUAAUCAGCAUAUACACACCCAGUGACCUUGCAUGAAGAAGCAGCCUGUCUGCAGAAGAUUGCAUCUCAUCUAUACAAAGCAGGAGUGAUGUUGUCAAUGUGUGUGUGUGCAUGCAUUUAUGUAUCUGUAUGCUUGUGCAGAGAGGGGAAGAUGGGGGAGGGGAUGUGGCUUUGUUACUUAGCUUGCUUGAUUUUUAUCCACAGUUAUUAAGAGGUAAAACAUUGUAGCUCAACCCCUAGAAGUGGUCGUUUGCUUUACAGAGAGGAAAAUCUCUGCCCCCUUACCAUGGCUUGCAUUUCCAGCCCCAAAAGGCAAAAACAGGGAGCACGUAACUCAGUGGAAUCAAUAGCACGACCAGAAAGUCAAUUCAGUCAUAUGAUGGUGGAUCAGUAUCAUCAUUGUAAAGGAGAGGAGAUCACUGUACUGUCAGAUGCAUCACUCUGACUUUCCCCCAUCACUGUAAUCCCAGCACACUGGAAGGCUGAGGUGGGAGGAUGGCUUGAGACCAGGAGUUUGGGACCAGCCUGGGCAACAUAGCAAGACCCCGUCUCUACA
rnacentral:lncRNA from 10 species